rnacentral:ncRNA from 1 species
GGUCCCUAUCCGGCGUGGGCGCAGGAUAUUUGAGAGGAGCUAUCCCUAGUACGAGAGGACCGGGAUGGACUGACCUCUGGUGCAUCUGCUGUCUUGCCAAAGGCAUGGCAGAGUAGCCAAGUCGGGACGGGAUAAACGCUGAAGGCAUCUAAGCGUGAAGCCCCCCUCAAGAUGAGAUAUCCCAUGGCACAAGCCAGUAAGACCCCUUGAAGACGACGAGGUUGAUAGGUCAGGGGUGUAAGUACAGCAAUGUAUUCAGCUGACUGAUACUAAUAGGUCGAGGGCUUGACCAA